GACAGAGGUUGCAAACGUUGUUCGGAAUUACUGGGCAUAAAGCGCACGUAGGCGGUCCGUUAAGUCAUGUGUGAAAUCCCCCGGCUCAACCGGGGAAUUGCGCCUGAUACUGGCGGGCUAGAGGUCGAUAGGGGUGAGCGGAACUCCAGGUGGAGCGGUGAAAUGCGUAGAUAUAUGGAGGAACACCGGUGGCGAAAGCGGCUCACUGGAUCGAAACUGACGCUGAGGUGCGAAAGAUAGGGUAGCAAACGGG
rnacentral:rRNA from 1 species